rnacentral:rRNA from 1 species
UACGUAGGGUGCAAGCGUUGUCCGGAAUUAUUGGGCGUAAAGAGCUCGUAGGCGGUUUGUUGCGUCGGCUGUGAAAUCCCGAGGCUCAACCUCGGGUCUGCAGUCGAUACGAGCAAACUAGAGUGUUGCAGGGGAGACUGGAAUUCCUGGUGUAGCGGUGAAAUGCGCAGAUAUCUGGAGGAACACCGGUGGCGAAGGCGGCAUCCUGGACCGGUAUUGACGCUGAGGCGCGAAAGCUAGGGGAGCAAACGGG